rnacentral:misc_RNA from 1 species
AGCAUCCAAAGGACAUGGCCGGUUGGCGUCGAGGCGAGCCCAUGGCUUCCCUUUGCCGCUCCAGUGCAAGAGGCUGACGGGUCCAGGAUGCAAGUCUCUGCAAAGCCCUUGAAAAUUGUCCCCUCCUAAACCAUGCUGAUUCCACCUGUGAUCCACAGGCGCAAUAUUCCCUGCAAAAACCAACAAGAAUGGUGGCAGCGAACCCAGUACGUAGAUCCGUAUCCUCUUCUGCAAUUCCAUCCAUUCAACGAUUUUUGUCGUGUAAUCUCCUUGUCUCCAUCUCUCUAAAUCAAUCACCAUAACCCCUGUGUUAAAAUAACAAGCACUGCGUCCGGCGAAUAUUAGCGACAGAGAUGGGUUCGACCAGAACGUGGGAGUGAAGUAAGAGGUGAAGUUAGCGUUACAGUACUCCGGCGCAGCCAAGACUGCAGUUUCGCCAAGUGGUGUGGCAGCUAACACCGAAAUGUCAUCUACUAGAAUUAUAUCCGAGUCUAAGUAUAUGACUCUUUGGACGCAAGGAGGGAGGAGAUUGGCGAGGUAAUUGCGCGCGUAGUUGAGAGGGGAGUCGAGGGCGGAGCGGAUGGAGGUGGAGAUGAGGCCAGAGACGGAGGGGGUGUGGAAAGUGUAGAUUUGAGAGCGGAGGUAAGGGAAGGAGGAGGUGAUAGCGGAGUGAAGGGAGGCGGAGGAGGAGGAGGAAACGAAGUGGAAGCGGAGAUUUUCCGGGCAGGAGGAGUGUUGGAGAAUGGACAGAAUCGCCGCCAUGGUGCCACGGAGGUAAGAAAAGUCAAGAGUCAUUGCCACGUGGACGGCUUCUGGAGAGCAAAUGUCGUAGGAGGAGAGGGGUGGGCAGUUUGGAGAAUUGUAGAAUCGUGGAGCUUCCUUGAAUUUUUGAGAACCGCUGACCGAGGCGGCGACAUUGGUUGUAGCGAUACACAGGAUGAGGAGGAGAAGAGAGAGGAGGUGCUGUGACGGUGGUGGCGGAAGUUUGGGCAUAGUGUUGGUAUGAAGAUAGGGAGAUCUAGAAAUGUGAAAGCAAAGAGGCGUCGGGUCUUAUUUGAGCUUUUAUAGAAA